rnacentral:rRNA from 1 species
CGGACGGGUGAGUAACGCGUGAGAAUCUGCCUCUAGGUCGGGGACAACAACUGGAAACGGUUGCUAAUACCCGAUGUGCAGCAAUGUGAAAGAUUUAUUGCCUAGAGAUGAGCUCGCGUCUGAUUAGCUAGUAGGUGUGGUAAUGGCGCACCUAGGCGACGAUCAGUAACUGGUCUGAGAGGAUGACCAGUCACACUGGGACUGAGACACGGCCCAGACUCCUACGGGAGGCAGCAGUGGGGAAUUUUCCGCAAUGGGCGAAAGCCUGACGGAGCAAUACCGCGUGAGGGACGAAGGCUUUUGGGUCGUAAACCUCUUUUCCCUGAGAAGAAGAUCUGACGGUAUCAGGGGAAUCAGCAUCGGCUAACUUCGUGCCAGCAGCCGCGGUAAUACGAGGGAUGCAAGCGUUAUCCGGAAUUAUUGGGCGUAAAGCGUCCGCAGGUGGCUCUGUAAGUCUGUCGUUAAAGAAUGGGGCUCAACCCCAUACAGGCGAUGGAAACUACAAGGCUAGA